UUUCCGUAGGUGAACCUGCGGAAGGAUCAUUCAUAAUAAAGUGUUUUAUGGCACUUUUUAAAAAUCCAUAUCCACCUUGUGUGCAAUGUUAGAUCUCGUCAAUCUUGGCGAGAUUUUUAUACAUCAACUCAUUUUUUAACUAAUUUGUCUGAAAAAUAUUAUGAAUACUUAAUUCAAAAUUCAACUUUCAACAACGGAUCUCUUGGCUCUC
rnacentral:misc_RNA from 1 species